rnacentral:rRNA from 1 species
AUUGAACGCUGGCGGCAUGCCUAACACAUGCAAGUCGAGCGGAGCGGCGGACGGGUGAGUAAUGCCUAGGAAUCUGCCUGGUAGUGGUGGAUAACGUCCGGAAUCGGGCGCUAAUACCGCAUACUAUCAGAUGAGCCUAGGUCGGCUUGGCUAGUUGGUGGGGUAAAGGCCUACCAAGGCGACGAUCCGUAACUGGUCUGAGCGGAUGAUCAGUCACACUGGAACUGGGACACGGUCCAGACUCCUACGGGAGGCAGCAGUGGGGAAUAUUGGAAAAUGGGCGAAAGGCUGAUGGAGCCAUGCCGCGUGUGUGAAGAGGGUCUUCGGAUUGUAAAGCACUUUAAGUUGGGAGGCGGUACCAACAGAAUAAGCACCGGCUAACUACGUGCCAGCAGCCGCGGUAAUUC